GCAGGGUGGGGUGUCUCUUGGAUUGGUGAGAAUGGGCGGGAUGGAGCCCUUUGGCCCCCUUUCAGUGCCCAUUGGGAAUUGGUUCUAAUUGCUGGGUUUUAUGAUGUUAUGAUGGACCAGUGCUCAGAGAUCAAGAACUUUUCAUCCCCCGGGGAGGUAACUGGAGGCCUGGAAAGGGGAAGAAAUUCCCCAUAGUUGUACUGACUCGUGAUGUUACAAAGAACCCAGCUGGGUGGAUCUCUCUGACCAUGUCCCACUGACUUCCACCAACGACCCCAUAAGGACAAGACCCUAGCCUGCAGUGCCGGGCCCACACAACCUGCAGGAGCAUCCGCACAGCGCUCGCCUGGCCCUGCAGACAGAGAACAUGGACUGCACGACAGACCCCAAUUCCAACAUGCUUCACUGAAUCUGGGGUGGAAUGCAGUGAUGGAAAUGAAGGAGUCCCCCAGGCCCUGGUACAGCCCCAACAAAGGUUUACAUUCGGCCAGGCUCAUUUUGACACAGCUCUCAAUCUGGGACACGGCUUUGAAGGAAGGUUGCUAAGCCUGCUAAUCCUGGUGCACACCAACACCGUUUCCUCAUUCAUCCGGAAACCUGAACUGGAACCUCCAGCCCCUUCGGAAGUCUCCAGAAGCCCCCGGUCCUGCUAAGAGAAGCUUGAGUGAGAGACGUCCAUCAUGCACAAGGGACCUUGACUCCUGCCAGACGCCACCUCCUCACAGACUGGACAAAGAUGCUCAAGGCAUGGGCAGGAGGCUUGGCGGCACAAGUUCAUGGGGAAGGG